UCCACUCCCUCUGUGGAACAAACGAAAAUCAGUAACAACACGGGGAAGGAGAGAUAGAGGAAGAAAUAGGAUGAGAAAAUCUCGAGUUUAUCCAAUACACUAUGUAAAUCUGGAAAAGUCAAUUUUAGAUCUCCGAUUGAAGAACCCAUGUCUACAUCUGAAACAUUAAUUCGUUUACUAUCGUUUUUACACAGAAGUUGUUCGCAAUAUAGCCUAUUUCGUUUAAGCUUGUACAUCAUGUAUUUCUGAGAAGGUUAUUGACGUGCUUAGUAAAAUGAUGCAGUAGGGAUUCCCGUUUGAUGUUAUCUUUCUUGCUAUCAUCUAUGGUAUGUGAAAUAGGAAAGGAAUCAAACAAGGGGUUCUCAUGUAUGAGAGUUCUUAUUUUUGAAGAAAAUGGGAGGAUUGAUGUUGUCCAGCUGGAAGUUUUUUGCUUUGCAAUAAAAAUUGAAGUUAAGGUUAGUUUUGAUGGAAACAUUUUCAUGAUUCAAAGUUGCAGUUGUUAAUUUUUUUUCUUUUAAAUGUAUGACUCAUGGUACAAAUUGAAGCAGGACAUGGUACUCUAGGUGAAUCUGAAGCAUCGUAAGGUACUAAAGUGUUUACAUUUCUUUUUAAGUGGUUUUCAUAUGCUUUCAUGACAAUUAAUCAAAUUUAAAUAUAUAUGGAUGUUUUGGGGUAAAAACUGAUUCUGUUUUUUUUUUUUGUAAUU